UCCAGACUCCUACGGGAGGCAGCAGUGGGGGAUAUUGCACAAUGGGGGAAACCCUGAUGCAGCGACGCCGCGUGAGUGAAGAAGUAUUUCGGUAUGUAAAGCUCUAUCAGCAGGGAAGAAAAAAGACGGUACCUGACUAAGAAGCCCCGGCUAACUACGUGCCAGCAGCCGCGGUAAUACGUAGGGGGCAAGCGUUAUCCGGAUUUACUGGGUGUAAAGGGAGCGUAGACGGCAAUACAAGUCGGAAGUGAAAUACCCGGGCUUAACCUGGGAACUGCUUUGGAAACUGUAUGGCUGGAGUGCUGGAGAGGUAAGCGGAAUUCCUAGUGUAGCGGUGAAAUGCGUAGAUAUUAGGAGGAACACCAGUGGCGAAGGCGGCUUACUGGACAGUAACUGACGUUGAGGCCCGAAGGCGUGGGGAGCAAACAGGAUUAGAUACCCUGGUA
rnacentral:rRNA from 1 species